CGCGUAGGUGGUUCGGUAAGUUGCUGGUGAAAUCCCGGGGCUCAACUCCGGGGCUGCCGGCCAGACUGCCGGACUCGAGCACGGUAGGGGCAGAUGGAAUUCCCGGUGUAGCGGUGGAAUGCGUAGAGAUCGGGAAGAAUACCAGUGGCGAAGGCGUUCUGCUGGGCCGUUGCUGACACUGAGGCGCGACAGCGUGGGGAGCAAACA
rnacentral:rRNA from 1 species